AUUUUGACUAGUCCAUCAAUCAUUAGCUCCUGUACUCAUCUAUUGUAAUAAUAAUUUUUCGGUUUUUGCAGUUGUGUUAAGUUUAGGCAGAAAAUCUGCCUAAGCGCCAGAUACCUUGUUUCGGAGGACUUCCUGGCGAUCGGCAAAUAGAUCAGGGGUAUCCAAAAUUUAUUUUAAAAUGAAUCACCGGUUAUUAAAAAAAAAACAAAUUCUCGAAAAACGCGUUUUUCUAACUUGCAAGUGGAUAUUAGCCCUUAAAGUAAUAAACCAAUCACAUGUUGAGCACUUUAAAACCAAAAGAGUGAGCAAAUUCUCUAAAACUGGUGGCAGUAAAUUUAAAAUAUGAAUACAUGCUUUUCAAUAGUAUCCCUAUUAAGAAGUCGACGGAUUAAAUGAUAUGCAAAUUGAACCUCUGAAGUACUUGAUAUACCCUUCUUUGGCAUUCGCAUUAAGGGGUUACUAGAAAUUCUAAACAUUUAUUAUCGAGCCACACACGUAUUGUGUUCGAUAAUUUGAUUAUGAAAAGAGUCUGGCAUUUUUUUCUGGAAGAAAGCAUGUAUAUAUUAAAUGGAAACUAACAAAGCCGCUAUUUUUCAAGGCCUGUACAAGUGAAUACCUGAAACUUGAGCCGCAUGUAUUGAGGAGCUCGUUAUCAUAGUGAU